AGGGCACCCUGGAGGAUACACAGCAGUGGCAGGUCGCCUGCGAAGGAGGCACAGUGGGCCCUGCAUGGGGGGCCAGGAGUGAGGAGUGGUGGAUGGUGAAGGCGCUGCCAAGCUGACCCAGCUGUGUGGCCCAGCAGGUCUGGGCGGGGCGGGUCAGUGGGCCUACAGUGGAUGCAGAACCCCGUAUGACACGGGGUGAGUACCGGGGUCCCACCCAGGACUGCAAAGCCAUCCCUGUCUCGUCAGCACCAGGAAUGAGGUGCAGAGGAAAUGGAUGGUGCCACCUGUUCUGCGUGCCACGAGGGUUGAUGCAGCUCCCUGUGGCUCCAACCCCUGGAUGAGCUCCUCAGGGCAGGACCCAGGCUGCUUUCCCGGACCCCAGAGCCUGGUACUGCGUGGGCUCAGAACCAAUGCUGUCAGAUGAAUGAGCAAGAUGACUGUGACGGGGAUAAAUGUCAGCUCCUGGAUGCAGAUCCUGGGCCCAGCUGCCAAGAGGCAGUGGGCGAUGGCAGCACCAGCCUCCGGAGGGGAGCUGAGUUGGGGCAGCCGCUCUGCCAAUCUCGUCCAGGUAUCAGAGCCAUUUCAGGCAUGAAGAAUUCCUGUUCUUUAGAAGACAUCCAUUGACGAAUUCAAAUGCCACAUGUCAUGUCACCCUUCAAUUGCUUCAGGUAUUUCAGUGAAAUCCUAUAGAAUUGAGCAAUGACCUCAGUAUCUACCACUCAGUAUCCUUGUUUUUAACCAAUCUCACAUCAAAAAAAUUUUAAAGACUAUGUCUGUACUGAACUUGUACAGACUUUCCCAUUAUUUCCUAAACAAUACAGUAGAAAAACUAUCUAUGUCCAUUCACAAUAGCUGAAAAAGUACAUAGUGCUCAACCUAACCAAGGAGGUAAAGUUCUACAAUGAAAACUUCUGAGCACUGAAGAAAUUGAACAGCUGCUGGAAGAUGGAAAGAGCUUCCAUGUUCAUGGAUGGAUGAGCAGGAUGAACGGUGUCAAAAUGGCCACGUUGCCAAAGGAGACCUGCAGAUUCAGUGUGAUCUCCAACGACUCGAGAACUUGAGAAAACAACCCUAAAAUUCACAUGCAAGCACAGAGGCCCAGAACAGCCAGCGCAGAGAUCAGCAUUGUCAGCGGCAUCACAGUAGCUGGCUUCAAACUACACUACACAGCACAGUUACAGGAACAGCAUGGUGAUGGCACAAAAACAGACAUGGGGAUCAAGGGGGCAGAGCAGAGGACACAGAAACAGACCCACAGAAUGGCGGCCCCUGAUUCUGCACAAGGGUCCCACAAAUACAUUGGAGAAAACACAGACUCUGGUGGUUCUGGCUUCUCCCUUUCUCCCUCUCCGUGCUCCCUUCCUUUCCUUCUUUCUUUCUUGUGCUACUGGGGCUCAAACCUAGGGGCCCUCUACCAUUGAAAUGCAUCCUUAAUCUUUUUUUAUUUUUUGUUUUUGAGACAGCGUCUCACUAAGUUGCGCAGGUGAGAUUUGAACAUGAGAUCCUCCUGCCUCAGCCUCCCUCAGCACCAGGAUGACAGACCUGUGCCACCAGGCCCAGCUUACUCGUUGAUCUGUCACUCUGGUCUCUGUCUUGUCGUCUUCUGUCCUGCUGGUCCACCUAGAUGACCGCCAUGAGCCCCUCCUCAAUUGCCUCAGUCAACUGCAUCUUUAUUACACAAGGUGAUUUGCACAGCUGGUAGAAUCCGCCCUCAGCUGCAGUCCUCUGAGUUUCUGUGUCCUUUGAGGAGAAUCCAAAACACACUGUCCCGAUCCCUCCACAUACCCAGAAUCCUGUGUGACAGUGAUGAACUGAUUUGGACUGUGCCAUAAGCACCCUACACUCAGCAGCUUGAAACAGAACAAUUUUGCUGGUGCACAAUUUCUGUGGGUUAGGAUUCAGGCCCUGGGAGAGAGAAGGAAG
rnacentral:lncRNA from 1 species